rnacentral:rRNA from 1 species
AGAGUUUGAUCCUGGCUCAGAUUGAACGCUGGCGGCAUGCUUUACACAUGCAAGUCGAACGGCAGCGCGGGGCAACCUGGCGGCGAGUGGCGAACGGGUGAGUAAUAUAUCGGAACGUACCCAAGAGUGGGGGAUAACGUAGCGAAAGUUACGCUAAUACCGCAUACGAUCUAAGGAUGAAAGUGGGGGAUUCGCAAGAACCUCAUGCUCCUGGAGCGGCCGAUAUCUGAUUAGCUAGUUGGUGAGGUAAAGGCUCACCAAGGCUACGAUCAGUAGCUGGUCUGAGAGGACGACCAGCCACACUGGAACUGAGACACGGUCCAGACUCCUACGGGAGGCAGCAGUGGGGAAUUUUGGACAAUGGGCGCAAGCCUGAUCCAGCAAUGCCGCGUGAGUGAAGAAGGCCUUCGGGUUGUAAAGCUCUUUUGUCAGGGAAGAAACGGUCUCAGCUAAUACCUGGGGCUAAUGACGGUACCUGAAGAAUAAGCACCGGCUAACUACGUGCCAGCAGCCGCGGUAAUACGUAGGGUGCAAGCGUUAAUCGGAAUUACUGGGCGUAAAGCGUGCGCAGGCGGUUUUGUAAGUCUGUCGUGAAAGCCCCGGGCUCAACCUGGGAAUUGCGAUGGAGACUGCAAGGCUUGAAUCUGGCAGAGGGGGGUAGAAUUCCACGUGUAGCAGUGAAAUGCGUAGAGAUGUGGAGGAACACCGAUGGCGAAGGCAGCCCCCUGGGUCAAGAUUGACGCUCAUGCACGAAAGCGUGGGGAGCAAACAGGAUUAGAUACCCUGGUAGUCCACGCCCUAAACGAUGUCUACUAGUUGUCGGGUUUUAAUUAACUUGGUAACGCAGCUAACGCGUGAAGUAGACCGCCUGGGGAGUACGGUCGCAAGAUUAAAACUCAAAGGAAUUGACGGGGACCCGCACAAGCGGUGGAUGAUGUGGAUUAUUUCGAUGCACCGCGAAAACCUUACCUACCCUUGACAUGUCAGGAAUCUUGAGAG